UUUUAACUCUUUUUUUUUAACAACUAUUUGACUCUGUCAUGUGUCAUGCAUUGAUUGGUCACAUAUUUAAAAUAAACAGAAAAUGGCGUUGAAACUUCAAAAUUAGGAAUUUCAUGUUCGUGGUUUCCUUUUUUUGUUUCGAAAUUUCAUUUGAAAGUUGCAAUAGGGUUGUGUGAGUUCAACCACCGUUGCUACAAACAUUGGAGUUCGGAACCACCGAUUUUUCACCGUUUGUUUCGCUUUCCGUUGGUUUUGAAGCGCCAUUGAACGAUCAAAUCAUCAUUGACGUGGGUUUUUUAGGUUCUCCCCGUUUGUUUCGGAGUUUGCAACCAUUUGCGAUUGUCGUCAUUCGUUUCGUCUUGAGUUGGUUUUGAAACACCAUUGACGCAUUGAACCAUCAUUUACAUAGGUUUUUGCAGGUGUCACCGUUCGUUUUAGCUUGCGUUGGUUUCAAGGAUCAUUGUUGUUGUUGAGGUAUGAUUGUGGAGUUAUUGUUGUGAAAUCUAUGGAGUUGUGGGAUGGUGUUGAUAAAUACGAAGGGAAAACGAUGCCCGAUUUCACAAGCCUAAGUAAUCAGACUUGUUAUACUUUGAAAUUUUGAUAACAGAUUAGACAUUUUCUUAAUUUUUUCUACAUUUGAUUGUUUUCAAGAGGAACUCCAACACUUUAAGGAAAUUUUGAUUGUGAUUGGAUUCUGGAUAAUUACAAUGUUCGUAGAGAAGAAGUGUUACAACAAUUAGGGCUGAUUUAGAUGUUAUUGUAGAUUUAGGAGUGUUGCAAUG
rnacentral:sRNA from 1 species